UACAGGGGGUGCAAACGUUGCUCGGAAUCAUUGGGCGUAAAGCGCACGUAGGCGGUCUGUUAUGUCGGAUGUGAAAGCCCUGGGCUCAACCUAGGAAGUGCAUUCGAAACUUCGAAGCUGGAGUCCUGGAGAGGAAGGCGGAAUUCUCGGUGUAGAGGUGAAAUUCGUAGAUAUCGAGAGGAACACCGGUGGCGAAGGCGGCCUUCUGGACAGUGACUGACGCUGAGACGCGAAAGCGUGGGGAGCAAACAGG
rnacentral:rRNA from 1 species